rnacentral:rRNA from 1 species
UACGAAGGGGGCUAGCGUUGCUCGGAAUCACUGGGCGUAAAGGGCGCGUAGGCGGCCAUUCAAGUCGGAGGUGAAAGCCCAGGGCUCAACCCUGGAAUUGCCUUCGAUACUGUUUAGCUAGAGACCGGAAGAGGUAAGUGGAACUGCGAGUGUAGAGGUGAAAUUCGUAGAUAUUCGCAAGAACACCAGUGGCGAAGGCGGCUUACUGGUCCGGUUCUGACGCUGAGGCGCGAAAGCGUGGGGAGCAAACAGG